GGCGGCGUGCUUAACACAUGCAAGUCGAACGAAGAGCGAUGGAAGCUUGCUUCUAUCAAUCUUAGUGGCGAACGGGUGAGUAACGCGUAAUCAACCUGCCCUUCAGAGGGGGACAACAGUUGGAAACGACUGCUAAUACCGCAUACGAUCUAACCUCGGCAUCGAGGAUAGAUGAAAGGUGGCCUCUACAUGUAAGCUAUCACUGAAGGAGGGGAUUGCGUCUGAUUAGCUAGUUGGAGGGGUAACGGCCCACCAAGGCGAUGAUCAGUAGCCGGUCUGAGAGGAUGAACGGCCACAUUGGGACUGAGACACGGCCCAGACUCCUACGGGAGGCAGCAGUGGGGAAUCUUCCGCAAUGGACGAAAGUCUGACGGAGCAACGCCGCGUGAGUGAUGACGGCCUUCGGGUUGUAAAGCUUUG
rnacentral:rRNA from 1 species